GAUGAAGAACGUAGCGAAAUGCGAUAAGUAGUGUGAAUUGCAGAAUUCAGUGAAUCAUCGAAUCUUUGAACGCACAUUGCGCCCUUUGGUAUUCCAAAGGGCAUGCCUGUUCGAGCGUCAUUUGUACCCUCAAGCUUUGCUUGGUGUUGGGCGUCUUGUCUCUAGCUUUGCUGGAGACUCGCCUUAAAGUAAUUGGCAGCCGGCCUACUGGUUUCGGAGCGCAGCACAAGUCGCACUCUCUAUCAGCAAAGGUCUAGCAUCCAUUAAGCCUGUUUUUCAACUUUUGACCUCGGAUCAGGUAGGGAUACCCGCUGAACUUAAGCAUAUCAAUAAGCGGAGGA
rnacentral:misc_RNA from 1 species